AGAAACCCAAUAAAUGUUUUGUCUUCCAUAAUUAAUCUUCCUAGGAGAGCUUCUAAUGAAUCUGUUAAGAUGAACCUCUACAAUCAACUCUUAUAUGGAGAUGAUGAAUAGUUGCUCUGUCGUAAUUCCUUGCAAGUACCUAGUUUUCAACCUUGUACUCACUUGAGUUUUAGGCACAAUUGUUUAGACUUAAGAUUUGCUCUAAGCCUAAAACUUGUGGGUAGCAAAUGCUUGAUAUAAGUCUAAGUAGUUGACGGAGAUGAUAUGGGGAGGUUUUGAGCUGCUAUCAAUCUUGCUCCUAGAGAUGCUAGAAUUCUAGAGAAUUUUAUUAUGAAAAUCUUAAAUUGCUACAUGAUGAGUUCCUUUAUGACGAGAGUUUUAAAAUUCCUACCACAGCCAAUUACUCAUCCUUACUAGAUUAGAAAAACCUCCACUUAUAUUUCAACAUAUAAGCAUUGAGAGUAGUUAGGCUGUGUAGACCCUAUGGAACUAGUCAUGCAGCUAAAGUCAAUAUUAUGUGCUCUCCAUCUAUUGAUCUUAGCUACUUUUGUCCUCAGAAGUAUGCAACCACUUUCAUCCACCACAUUCACUAUGUGCUACUUCAAUUCCUGGAAGUACCACCCAUAUAUACGCACUACACUAUGUGUUGUUUCUAUCCUUGAGACAUGCACUGUGCUGCUCCUACCCUCGGAGUAUGCAUUCCACUAUUCAUCACCCACACACAUUCCACAACCACAUAGAAAAUGUUCUACUCCUACACUGGGAGAAGACACCCAAAAAUAUUCAAUGUCUUAUUCUACUUAUAUCCAAUAAACCCCCAAUUAUCCUAGUUGAUACUACCUACUGUUGUCAUUGAAUUAAAAGGGAUGGCUGAUCUCUAAAAAAAGAGAGAAAAAAAGAGAGAAAAAUAAAGAAAGAGGACAAAAGUCCCAAUGUAAAAGAAAAGAAAGACAGCCAAAUCCUUGUUCUCAGAUUAGGGAGGUAUGUUAUCCCCAUGGAGCAAAUGAUGAAUUAGAUAUUCACCAUCAGUUAUCACCCCUCAUAACCCCUUUCAUUCUUAUCACUUCAUUUCACUUCACUCACAUGCACACAUGACUUGAUUGUAUAAUUAGUUUCUCUGGAUCCAUGGUUUAACUAUGCAAUACAUGCAAGUAGGUUUGAAUUAUCUUUCCCACCUAUGAGCUCCACAUAAGCCAAUUAGAAGUAUGGUGAGAGAGAAGGCAACUAUGUCUUAGUAAUACAAAUAACACAUAUGAGAGACUGGAAAGUGUCAUACAAGGAAACUCUAAGUUUUAUUUGAAAAUCUUGCAAAACUCUGGAAUAAUAGUUGAUCAAAGAGCGGGUAGCACAGUGCUUGACUUAGCUGUUCUGUCUGUCAACUGCCCAAGACCAAAGUGAUAGCUAUAAGCCCCAUGGUGAAAGGUAAAAUGGGUGAGUCUUGAGUCAGAAUAGUUCACUCUAAUUCGGUGGGGAUUCCUUGUUUGAAUACUUGUGUACUUAUG
rnacentral:lncRNA from 1 species